GCCGUCCCCAUCUUCCGCUCGUCUGUGCUUGCUCGCCGGGCACGCCGCCGCUACUCGCUGCGCGCAGGGCCGCCGCUGCCGACCGCCAACGCUGCACGCGGGGCCGUCGCCGCCGACCGCCAACGCUGCACGCGGGGCCGUCGCCGCCGCUCCUGCUCGCUGCGCGCUGGCGUGUGCCGCUGUCGCGCCUCUCACUGCAUGCCGCUACCGCCCCAGCGCUGCGCGCAGGGCUGCCACCACUCUUGCUCGCGCGCGCCCCAGCGUGUGCUGCUGCCGCCCUGACGCUGCAUCCGCGAGCCCAGCUUUGCGCAGUGCGCCGCCGCCGCACGCCGAUCCCUGUGCCCCUCUCACCGUCUUGGGACCUGAGGUAUCGGUAAAGCUUCAUGAGAAGAUAUUCAAGUGAUGCUUUAGAUCUACUUCGAGAACUUUGUAUUCGGUUGUAAUGAACAUAUGGAUGAUACCUCUAAUGUAAUUAUUAGUAUAUGGAUAUUUUUCCUUUUACAAUUUGGUUUCUAAACUUUGUAUUACAUUUAUGAACUUCAAAUAUCAGUUUGCAAGUUCCCACCCA